rnacentral:lncRNA from 1 species
GGAAGAUGUCUCACCCUAACUCUUCCCUCUUCCCUAGACCCUGCUUGGUUCCACCCUGAGCAGGAACCAUCUGUUUGUGGCGGGAAAGGUCCUCCUGGGCCUUGUUCAGGCCAACCACAUGGACGAGGCCAAAUUCAUCCGUACCUAUAAUGACUUUGUGGACUACCUGAGUGACCCCUCCAAGCGGAAUGACAUUGCGAGGGAGCUGGCUGAGGCAAAGGUGAGUUCAUUAACUCUUUCAAGUCUCACUGAGUUCUUCCACAUGCAUGUCUUUUAUACAUCACAGUAGCUGAUCUAUAUGAAAUCAUUCCUAUUUUCUCCAAACGUGUUUUCUUGUCCUAGAUCCAUCAUGUGAACAUGAUAGAUGUCCUCUUUGAGCUGGUGCUGUUUAGGAUGAUGACAGCUCAGAAGUCCCUGAUGGUGGUAAGUAGCAUCUCACUGGAACAUGUUUUGAUAUCGCUCUAUUAGCAGUUUCACUUAAAUUCCUCAUCUCUUCUAUUCUCUUUUCUCCUCCUUUGUUUCCUUUAGCACCAUGGUGGGUUCGUGGAGCGUCUGUACGCUCUCCUGUACUCCUUCCUGCCCACUGCUGCCAACAUGGAGCCAGAGGCUGAUAGAUACCUACUGCUGCUCAAUGUAAGAGUCAAGAGGUUACUUCCUGUUUACUUCCAUAUUCUUAGUGUACUUCCUUUUGACUUCCUUAUUCAUGGUUAACCAGGUUUCAAUGCCAUUUUAGGGGGAGUAUUUCUAAUUGUCUCUCUCCUCUUGAUAAGCUAGUAACUCAGAUCCCAUUUUCUAUGUGUUGUGUGGU